CGAAAGCCUGACGGAGCAAGACCGCGUGAGGGAGGAAGGCUCUUGGGUUGUAAACCUCUUUUCUUGGGGAAGAAUGACGGUACCCAAGGAAUCAGCAUCGGCUAACUCCGUGCCAGCAGCCGCGGUAAUACGGAGGAUGCAAGCGUUAUCCGGAAUUAUUGGGCGUAAAGCGUCCGCAGGUGGCACUUCAAGUCUGCUGUCAAAGGUCGGGGCUUAACCCCGGGAAGGCAGUGGAAACUGAAGCGCUAGAGUGUCGUAGGGGUAGAGGGAAUUCCCGGUGUAGCGGUGAAAUGCGUAGAGAUCGGGAAGAACAUCGGUGGCGAAAGCGCUCUACUGGACGACAACUGACACUCAGGGACGAAAGCUAGGGGAGCGAAUGGGAUU
rnacentral:rRNA from 1 species